rnacentral:rRNA from 1 species
CAAUAGCGUAUAUUAAAGUUGUUGCAGUUAAAAAGCUCGUAGUUGAAUUUCUGGUGGGCGCGCCGGUCUUCCAAGUGUUGUACUGGGCGCAGUCCGCCAUCCUUGUGGAGAGGGCUCGCAUUGAGUUGCGUGUCGGAUCUGCAUCAUUUACUGUGAAAAAAUUAGAGUGUUUAAAGCAGGCUGUCGCUUGAAUACAUUAGCAUGGAAUAAUAAGAUAGGACUUCGGUCUAUUUUGUUGGUUGCGAACCGAGGUAAUGAUUAAUAGGGAUAGUUGGGGGUAUUCAUAUUUAAUUGUCAGGGGUGAAAUUCUUGGAUUUAUGAAAGAUGAACAACUGCGAAAGCAUUUACCAAGGAUGUUUUCAUUAA